CUGGUGUUUGCUAAGUAAUCUAUUUUCCCGCAAGAGUGGUGUAUUCAUAUUCCUCCUUAAUUUAUCGUAGCGUACUUUUUUCUGUUGUGAAGUUUUUACGAAAAAACCGUUUAUUAUGCGACUAGGCUACAGUUCGGGCUUGAGUUUCCAUCGGUUGCUGUCACUUUGUUGGUCAAUUUAUAAUAAACACCGUGCUUCUACAAGGAUGUCUUUGGUAGGAGUUUGAGUUUGAGUUCGAGUUCCUGUUCUAACGGUAUAGCGUCGCGCAAUGAAAAAAGCUGCUCUUUAGCUACAGACAGAAUGCAGAGAGUGGCUAUGUGAAGUAAAUGUGCGGACCGCACGUUCAGACGAUGGGUGAGGAGGACCCAUGAGAAAUAGAAUCUUCAACACAAGCUCACAGCGCAUAUGUAAAGGAAGUGAAAGCCAGAAUUGUCCUCAGUUCCAUUUGAAUUGGUGGAACUAUUUUUACAGUAUGAUACUGGCAUCGAAGAUGAGGAAAGAAUUCUAAUUCCAGCCUAAUCAACAAGGCUGGAUCUUAAAAUUUUUGCGGAGAAAAAGAAAAUUGAUUUGGAACACGGAGUGCGAAUAACUUCAAAAAAAGUUUACACAGAGUGCAGCAAGAGACUGAUAACUUCACUUGAAAAAUAUCGUCCUUGCAAGAAAAUUUCUUUCUUUAAAGCUGUGGCAUGUAAUCUGCACUAAGUUUGAGUAAAUUAUUUUUAUA